rnacentral:lncRNA from 1 species
GAGAGAGAGAGAGUGUGUGUAUGAGAGAGAGGGGGUCCGCAUCACGAGGUUGGGUCAUCUAAAGAGUCCACCAUCAUUUUUAGCUUCCACAUUAAAAACCGAGAGUGGAGCAAUGUUUCCAAAGUUAAUUUUUUUUUCUAUAUUUUACAUAUUGAAGGAAUAGUCAUGAGUUUCAAAAUUAACUGCAACAUAGUGUGCAACUAGGGGAGGCCAAUCCAAUCUCAAAUUAAAUGACUCAACUCAAUUAA